rnacentral:rRNA from 1 species
CACACGACCGUACCGCAAACCGACACUGGUGCGCGAGAUGAGUAUUCUAAGGCGCUUGAGAGAACUCAGGAGAAGGAACUCGGCAAAUUGACACCGCAACUUCGGAAGAAGGUGUGCCUUUAGUAGGUGAACCUGUACAAGGGGAGCCCAAUGAGGUUGCAAAAAAUCGGUGGCUGCGACUGUUUAAUAAAAACACAGCACUCUGCAAACACGAAAGUGGACGUAUAGGGUGUGACGCCUGCCCGGUGCUGGAAGAUUAAAUGAUGGGGUGCAAGCUCUAGAUUGAAGUCCCAGUAAACGGCGGCCGUAACUAUAACGGUCCUAAGGUAGCGAAAUUCCUUGUCGGGUAAGUUCCGACCUGCACGAAUGGCGUAACGAUGGCCACACUGUCUCCUCCUGAGACUCAGCGAAGUUGAAAUGUUUGUGAUGAUGCAAUCUCCCCGCGGAAAGACGGAAAUACCCCAUGAACCUUUACUGUAGCUUUGUAUUGGACUUUGAACAGAUCUGUGUAGGAUAGGUGGGAGGCUUUGAAGUGUGGUCGCUAGAUCGCAUGGAGCCAACGUUGAAAUACCACCCUGGUGUGUUUGAGGUUCUAACCUAGGCCCGUAAUCCGGGUCGGGGACAGUGCAUGGUAGGCAGUUUGACUGGGGCGGUCUCCUCCCAAAGCGUAACGGACGAGUUCGAAGGUACGCUAGGUACGGUCGGACAUCGUGCUAAUAGUGCAAUGGCAUAAGCGUGCUUAACUGCGAGACUGACAAGUCGAGCAGAUGCGAAAGCAGGACAUAGUGAUCCGGUGGUUCUGUAUGGAAGGGCCAUCGCUCAACGGAUAAAAGGUACUCUGGGGAUAACAGGCUGAUACCGCCCAAGAGUUCAUAUCGACGGCGGUGUUUGGCACCUCGAUGUCGGCUCAUCUCAUCCUGGGGCUGUAGCCGGUCCCAAGGGUAUGGCUGUUCGCCAUUUAAAGAGGUACGUGAGCUGGGUUUAAAACGUCGUGAGACAGUUUGGUCCCUAUCUUCCGUGGGCGCUGCAGAUUUGAGGAAGCCUGCUCCUAGUACGAGAGGACCGGAGUGGACACACCUCUGGUGUAUCGGUUGUCACGCCAGUGGCAUUGCCGAGUAGCUAUGUGUGGAAGAGAUAACCGCUGAAAGCAUCUAAGCGGGAAACUCGUUUCAAGAUGAGAUCUGCCGGGGCCUUGAGCCCCCUAAAGAGUCGUUCAAGACCAGGACGUUGAUAGGUCGGGUGUGGAAGCGCAGUAAUGCGUUAAGCUAACCGAUACUAAUUGCUCGUGCGGCUUGACCAA